rnacentral:lncRNA from 1 species
CUCUUUCCCUAUUUCAGAGCUCACCACUGUAUUCUAAACAGAAGCCAAUAGAGGGAGAAAAACAAAGCCAAGUGCAAAAGCUGUGGGCACUGAAAGUUUUGCUCCACCGGCCGCGCAGCACCCACUUGGGGUCGGGCUUUGGGACUUGGGGGAGUCAGGAGCAGGCGGGGGCUGGGGAGAGGACGAGGCCCUGGGGAGGGGCUGGAAAAGGCUUUUCACAGCGACUGGCACUUGAUAUUUCCAAGUCUUCUGGAUGUCACUCACCGGAAACCAGACCCUGCGGUGCGAAGACUCAGGACUCUGUGAUGUGGUGAGCUGGCCUUAUUCACCUUCUCCAUACCUUUCGAGGAUUUGGAUGCGUCUCUUGCACCUAUCUUAGCCGUCUUUCUUCCAUCCUGAAGAGACAUGCAUCUCUGUGGUGGCUCCUCCCUCCCCAAGGUCAUCGUGGCUGACUUGGGACCUUUCCCAGCUCUGUGUGUCUGUCUUGAAACACAGUUUAUCUUCUCUCCAUUGGUGCAUCCCAUAAGUGGCAAAGGCAAAAGCUGGACUGCAUUGUGUGGCCCCAGGGAGCUGCAGACAGAGGAACUGAGUCCUGGCCACUGUGCCUGCUGUCUCUUACAAGUUUAGAGAUGCUGGCAUUGCAUCGAAAUCGGACAACACUCCCUUCCCUCCCUUCCCAGGUACUCCAUUCCCAACCUUUUCCACCAACAGGUCCUUAUUCUCAGAAGCCAAAAAUAAUUUAUUGGUUUCCACUGUUCUCCUUGGCUGAAUCUUCAAGUACACCAACUCCCCCCUCUUCUGGACAGACUCUCCAUAAUUCAGCCAGCAUCUAAUCAGCACCUUGCUUCUCUUCCAUUCUUCCUUUCUCCAGAGUCAUGAUUCUUCCUUCUCAAGUCAAAGAGGAAUUACAAGCAAAUAGACACUAUCCUUGAAUGCAGUUUGGGUUACACAGAAUGGGGAAUGAACUCAAUCUCAUUUUUGCUUCUUUGUUGAAAUAAGCUCAGUAUCUCCCUUGCACAGAGAUUGAAUCGGCUUCACUAAGGCAAGCAGCAUUUCCUCUUUUCUCCCAGUCAGCAUCGCAGCUCUCUGCAUUCCCCUCUCGCAGAGGUGACUAUUCAUUGUGUUCUUUCCAGGAAUGUUUUCUGAGCUUCAGGAGGCCCUGAGUUACCUGGAUAAUUAGUGCUGUCCUUUUGCACAAUGCAAAAACAAAACUAUUAUGAGAUAAUUUCUUUAGCUAAGUUGGGAAUGGGGUUUAAAUGCGUGGGCAAAUAGAUCUGGCAGUCAAAUUCAGACUGUCAUAUUUUGUGAUCCACCCUCCCACCGAUCAUAGCAUAUAAGACUCUGAUGAACUUCACCAGCAACAGGGAAUUCUCCCUCCACUGCAGAUAAAACAAUGACAAUAUGGAAGUGAAAAAUGAAUAAUUCAAAAAUGGAAUUCUCUGUGGGGCUCCGUGCAGUGUGUGUUUCUGUGUGUGCAUGUGUUUUAUACAAGUCUCUGUUACUUUUGUAGUUUGGAUUGGACUUCCGUCGGUCCAUUAAUUUUGUUACUGGAUCCCACCACUUACCCAAAAUUAGCCUUUGGGUUGGGUGUUUCUGCAGUAUAGUCCCUUCUGUGGACACCAGAAAGAUAUUACAGGAAAGGGGUCCUGAUCAAGACCCCCAGAGACGGUUCUUGGACCUGGUUGGGAGGCCGAGGAUCACUUGAGGUCAGGAGUUCGAGACCAGCCUGACCAACAUGGUGAAACCCCAUCUCUACUAAAAAUACAAAAAUUAGCCAGGUGGGCCAGGCACGGUGGCUCACGCCUGUAAUCACGCCUGUCAUCACAGCACUUUGGGAGGCCGAGACAGGUGGAUCACCUGAGUUCAGGAGUUCAAGACCAGGCUGGCCAACAUGGUGAAACCCUGUCUAUACUAAAAAAACAAACAAACAAACAAAAAAAAAAACAAAAAUUAGCUAGUCAUGGUGGCCUGCACCUGUAAUCCCAGCUACUCAGGAGGCUGAGGCAGCAGAAUCCCUUGAACCCAGGAGGCAGAGGUUGCAGUAAGCCAAGCUCUAGCCUGGGCGACAGAGCUAGACUCCAUAAAAAAAAAAAAAAAAAAAAAAAAAAAAAAAAAAAAAGAAGAAGAAGAAGAAGAAAGAAAGAAUUAAUUCAUUAAUUCAGGAUGAGCCCGUAAAGUGAAAGCAAAUUUAUUAAGAAAGUAAAGGAAUAAAGAACGGCUGCUCCAUAGACAGAGCAGCCCCAAGGGCAGCUGGUUGCCCAUUUUUAUGGUUAUUUCUGGAAGAUAUGCUAAACAAGGGGUGGACUAUUCAAGCCUCUCGUUUUUAGAUCGUAUAGGGGAACUUCCUGACGUUACCAUGGCAUUUGUAAACACUCAUGAUGCUGGUGGGAGAGUGUAGCAGUGAGAAUGACCAGAGGUCACUCUUGUUGCCAUCUUGGUUUUGGUGGGAUUUGCCUGGCUUCUUUACUGCAACAUAUUUUAUCAGCAAGGUCUUUAUGUCCUGUAUCUUGUGCUGACCUCCUGCCUCAUCCUGUGACUUAGAAUGCCUAACCAUCUGGGAAUGCAGCCCAGUAGGUCUCAGCCGCAUUUUACCCAGUUCCUCUUCAAGAUGGAGGUGCUCUGGUUCAAAUGCCUCUGACAAUUUCACGGAUGGAUUCCAGGGACCUGUGAGCAGUCUCUGGAAGUCUUUGGCUAGGUGUGGUGGCUGACCAGGAACUGUGGCCCACCUUGUAGUUCCCACACAUGGGGAAGCAGACAGGUAGAGUGUAACCCACCAACCACUGCACACGCAGGAAACAGAUCCCAUGUCAGGACGCUUUGUAAGUGCUGCAUGCUUCCAGACCAGUGGAGAGAACCCAUCAGCACGUAUCUGUAGCCUUUACUUUUGCAAGAACAUAUCGCCGCAUUGUUUGGUAAUUUAACAUUUUUGACAAAAACAACUUGAAAGAGAUGAUGUUAAAAAAUGCUGGCAGGGAGCACACAGGAUUUUUAGGGUAGUGAAACCUCUCUGUAUGAUCCUACAAUGUCAUUAGACAUUUGUCCAAACCCAGAGAAAACACACCACAACCAAGAGUGAACCCUAAUGUAAACUCUGGACUCUGGGUGAUGAUGAUGUACAGUGUAAGGUUCAUCAAUUUUUUCUGUAAACCAAAAAUAAAAUUCUAAGUCCUCCAGCCAUCUAAAUGGACCCCUCCUCUUGGCCAAGAGCAUUCCAAAGCUAACCUGAAAAAACUAGUUCAGGCCAUGUUGGAAAGAGAAAGCCAGACAUGCCUCAUUAUCCCCUCCUCCCUUUUGGAAUUGCUGAUAAAACAGACUCUUUAAGUCUGACAAGAAACAUUUACAAUCUAUUCUCUCUAAAGCCUGAUAUCUACAGGCUUCAUUUGCAGGAUAAAACAUUGAUCUGGGCCAGGUGCAGUGGCUCAGGCCUGUAAUCCCAGCACUUUGGAAGGCCGAGGCGGGCGGAUCACAAAGUCAAGAGAUCGAGACCAUCCUGGCCAUCAUGGUGAAACCCUGUCUCUACUAAAAAUACAAAAAUUAACUGGGCGUGCUGUCACGCACCUGUCAUCCCAGCAACUUGGGAGGCUGAGGCAGGAGAAUCGCUUGAACCCAGGAGGUGGAGGUUGCAGUGAGCUGAGAUCGUGCCAUUGCACUCCAGCCUGGCAACACAGCGAGACUCCAUCUCAAAAAACAAAACAAAACAAAACAAAACCUUGGUCUCCACAACCCUUUAUCAUAACCCAGACAUUCCUUUCUACGGAUAAUAACUCUUUCAACCAAUUGCCAAUCAGAAAAAUUUUAAAUCUACCUAUGACCUGGACGCCCCUGUUUCCAAGUUGUCUCACCUUCGCAUCCUGAACCAUUGCAUAUCUUGCCUGUAUUGACUGAUGUCUCAUGUCUGCCUAUGAUGUAUAAACCAAUUGUACCCUGACCAGGUUGAGCACAUGUCAUCAGGACCUCCUGAGGCUGGGUCAUGGGUAUGUCCUUAACCUGGGCAAAAUAAACUUUCUAAAUUGAUUGAGACUUGUCUCAGAGACUCUUGGUUUCCAUUACAAAUGUGCCACGAUGGCAGGAAUGUUGAUAGCGUGGGAGGCUGUGUGUGUGUUGGAGAGGCAGACAGUAUAUGGGAAUUCUCUGUACCUUCUGCUCAAUUUUGCUGUAAACCUAAAACCACCCUAAAAAAUAAAGUCUGUUAAAAAAGCAAACACAUCAACAAAACUACAGUGGGUCAUCCCACCACAAAUCUUUGAUGAAAUGAGUUCAACUUAACCUUUUUUUUUAUUAGCCAUGCCAUAAAAUUUAAGUGUAUUUUUGUUCUAUUUAAUGAAAAAAAAAAAGAUGCUGGCAGUGAAUGAGGGACAGGAAUGAAGGGCACGUAUAACAGGUAAACCUUAGACGCUUGUCUAAAAAUAAUACCUACAUCUCCCUUUUCAGCUUUAAUUAUUUUAACACCCCUUGUGAGCUGUCUGAGAGCUGAGAUGUGAGCAUUCUCAGGAGCCUCUCUGCAGCCCCUGACACUUGGUUUUUUCUUUAUUUAGAGCCGACAUCAGGAGAGGAAGAGAAAUGGGAAACUGAGGGCCAGGAGGGAAUUUGGGAACAUUUUCAAAUCCACCUACAGCUGUCAGCAGGACGCCGGCUCCCUAAACAGCUGUGGGUACAAAGGAUCCUGAAAUCCACUCCAAAAACUUAGAUCUCCCUCCCAGCUGCUUUGCAGGGCUCGGGGAGUUAAUGAUGAAGUUCUUCCUUAUGUCGAGCGCAGAGCUCCAGCCUUCUGAUUGGAUGAGUGCUGAAGAUUAGAAAACGGCUUCUUCGGAGGAACUCCAGAGACAUACUGCUGAGAAAAUGAAGUCAGCCAUUCACGAGAAUAUACC